rnacentral:rRNA from 1 species
UAUACAACUCUUAACGU